rnacentral:rRNA from 1 species
AUUAAAAACCAAUGCCCUUCGGGGCUCUCUGGUGAUUCAUAAUAACUUCUCGAAUCGCACGGCCUUGCGCCGGCGAUGGUUCAUUCAAAUUUCUGCCCUAUCAACUUUCGACGGCUGGGUCUUGGCCAGCCGUGGUGACAACGGGUAACGGAGGGUUAGGGCUCGACCCCGGAGAAGGAGCCUGAGAAACGGCUACUACAUCCAAGGAAGGCAGCAGGCGCGCAAAUUACCCAAUCCCGACACGGGGAGGUAGUAACAAUAAAUACUGAUACAGGGCUCUUUCAGGUCUUGUAAUUGGAAUGAGUACAAUUUAAAUCCCUUAACGAGGAACAAUUGGAGGGCAAGUCUGGUGCCAGCAGCCGCGGUAAUUCCAGCUCCAAUAGCGUAUAUUAAAGUUGUUGAGGUUAAAAAGCUCGUAGUUGAACCUUGGGCCUAGCCGGCCGGUCCGCCUCACCGCGUGCACUGGCUCGGCUGGGUCUUUCCUUCUGGAGAACCGCAUGCCCUUCACUGGGUGUGCC